UGGGGAAUAUUGGACAAUGGGCGAAAGCCUGAUCCAGCCAUGCCGCGUGAGUGAUGAAGGCCCUAGGGUUGUAAAGCUCUUUUGUGCGGGAAGAUAAUGACGGUACCGCAAGAAUAAGCCCCGGCUAACUUCGUGCCAGCAGCCGCGGUAAUACGAAGGGGGCUAGCGUUGCUCGGAAUCACUGGGCGUAAAGGGUGCGUAGGCGGGUUUCUAAGUCAGAGGUGAAAGCCUGGAGCUCAACUCCAGAACUGCCUUUGAUACUGGAAGGCUUGAGUUCGGGAGAGGUGAGUGGAACUGCGAGUGUAGAGGUGAAAUUCGUAGAUAUUCGCAAGAACACCAGUGGCGAAGGCGGCGCACUGGCCCGAUACUGACGCUGAGGCACGAAAGCGUGGGGAGCAAACA
rnacentral:rRNA from 1 species